UACGUAGGGGGCAAGCGUUGUCCGGAAUCAUUGGGCGUAAAGAGCGUGUAGGCGGUUCGGUAAGUCGGCUGUGAAAGUCCAGGGCUCAACCCUGGGAUGCCGGUCGAUACUGCCGGACUAGAGUUCGGAAGAGGCGAGUGGAAUUCCCGGUGUAGCGGUGAAAUGCGCAGAUAUCGGGAGGAACACCUAUGGCGAAGGCAGCUCGCUGGGACGUUACUGACGCUCAGACGCGAAAGCUAGGGGAGCAAACAGG
rnacentral:rRNA from 1 species